UAUUUCAUUCUGGGUUUGUUCCACAUGAUGAUGCUGAUGAUGUAAACACCAAGCAACACACGGCUUCAAUUCGUUUGCUAUUUCUAAGUACCGUAUUUUUUGGACGAGUCGCACCUUUUUUGUAUUUUGGCUGGUCUUUCGACUGACACUCAGCUCCAACUUGUGCAAUUAAUAUGAUACGAAUUUUCAGAUUCAAAUCUCGCACGCACUCCAUUUCAGAAGGUGGCGGUGGUAAUGCGUCAACGCAAUUUGCCAAUCGCCAAAAGAAAGCAGAAAUAGAAACGGAAUGAGAAAAGGAAGAAGAAACAGAAGUAGUAGUAGUCAUGGCAACCCAUGUGUGACGCAAGUCGUUAGUUUGCUGCCGCUUCUCACGGAAAUACAUGAAGAGAGCGUCUCCCCAGCUAGCUUGCUAGAAUUUUCUCUUUACAGCACCAAAAGGCAGAAAAACCAAUGAGGUUUUGACCUUUGGCCACAAUGCAACACAGGAUCCGAGUUAAGGGUUGCGUGUGGCUACGGCGGCGGCAAAGCUGACAAGGCAACACAGCACGGUGGUGACGUGUGUGGCAGGCCAGCUGGAGGCGUCAUCCUCGACGUACGCUGCCAACAGGUGCCAACAACAAACCAGGAACCACAGCACCGAAGACACUAUAUCAAUUCUCCUCAACCUGAUAAUCACACCAGAUGGACGGUUGACUUUUCCUCCUCAAACAGAUAUCCGCAGCAGAGUGAGACUAACCUGGCCGCUCCUGCUAAUUGGAGACCAAUGAGGCACGAUGAAAGGCCGACACAAAUGACCGCCAUCUGAUUAGCUUGUCCGAAGAGCCACAAGAGCUUGGCAUCCUCUACAAGUGUAACCGGGAGGAGGUCCAGCAGACUCUGCCAUGACUGUGUGACUCCAUCGCUGCCAUUUUUGGUGGCGGACACGUUGUGGGCGAUUGAUUGGGAAUGAUUCAGUCCUCCGUUUGAAGUCUGCCGGUCGGCCGAGAAAGUCAAAGCGAGCAGAAAAGCACAAACGAGGAACGAGAGACAUCUAAGCAGGACGACAGCCAGAGAACAGGAUGCAGAGAGGGAGCCCUGUAAGCAAGAUAGAACUUCAUGGAUUAGACAGAAGUAGUCAAAUUUCAAGGGCUGAAAUGUAGCGAUGCUAACAGUUUAAAGAUGCCCCUGUUUCCUGUGAAAGGUAAAAACUUUAACUGCUUCCAACUAAUACCAAGCACGAUUUUAUAUCACCUUUUGCAGGCCACAAAACAGAUUGGCAGGACAAAUAUGGCUCACGGGUCUCAAAUUUUACACGUGUCCUAGAUUUAUUUACACUAUAGGGUACAGAUGCCAUAAUUACAAAUGCAGUGUGAUAUCUUCACAUUGGAAUCAGGGCUCUUCCAAAUGUGGAUAAAAUCUGACAUAAUGCAUACCUGCCGAUAUGAGCGCAAGAAACGCUUCGUCAAUGCGAACUUCAUAGAAAUAGUAAACUCGAACAUAAAUAAAUCUGAACAACAGUGAAAGAAUAAACAAAAAUGAUGUUGUUUCACUAAUUCCGUGGCAGAAAAAAAACAACAACAGUGGUGUUAUACCUCUGAUCACUUGAAAUGUACAUGUAAAUAGAGCCCCCCCCAAAAAAAAAA